UGGGGAAUAUUGGACAAUGGGGGCAACCCUGAUCCAGCGAUGCCGCGUGAGUGAUGAAGGCCCUAGGGUUGUAAAGCUCUUUUGUCAGGGAAGAUAAUGACGGUACCUGAAGAAUAAGAUCCGGCUAACUCCGUGCCAGCAGCCGCGGUAAUACGGAGGGAUCUAGCGUUAUUCGGAAUUACUGGGCGUAAAGCGAGCGUAGGCUGAUUUGUAAGUUGGAUGUGAAAUCCCAGAGCUUAACUCUGGAACUGCAUCCAAAACUACAUUUCUUGAGUUUGGUAGAGGAGAGUGGAAUUCCUAGUGUAGAGGUGAAAUUCGUAGAUAUUAGGAGGAACACCAGUGGCGAAGGC
rnacentral:rRNA from 1 species